rfam:Myotis davidii contig152093, whole genome shotgun sequence.
GGUGGUUCUUGGGUGAUGCACCCUGGAAUCAGGCUCCUUCCUCUCAGGGUCCGGGUGCGUCACCCAAGAAUCACA